rnacentral:rRNA from 1 species
GUCCUUUUGAUUAUAAUUUAAGGUCUAACCUGCCCACUGAAAUUUUAAAGGCCGCAGUAUUUUGACUGUGCAAAGGUAGCAUAAUAAUUAGUUUUUUAAUUGAAAGCUUGUAUGAAUGGUUGAACGAGAGAUUGACUGUCUCAAUUUAUAAUUUAGAAUUUUAUUUUUAAGUUAAAAAGCUUAAAUUUUUUUAAAAGACGAGAAGACCCUAUAGAGUUUUAUAUUAAAAUUGGUUUAAUUUUUAGAAUUUUGAAUAUUAUUUUUAAUAUUUUGUUGGGGUGAUAUAUAAAUUUAAGUAACUUUAUAUUAUAAAAAUCAUUAAUUUAUGAAUAAAUGAUCCAUAAUUUAUGAUUAAAAGAAAUAAUUACCUUAGGGAUAACAGCGUAAUUUUUUUUUAGAGUUCUUAUCGAAAAAAAAGUUUGCGACCUCGAUGUUGGAUUAAAAUUUAUUUAUGGUGUAGAAGCUAUAAAAUUAGGUCUGUUCGACCUUUGAAAUUUUACAUGAUCUGAGUUUAAACCGGCGUGAGCCAGGUUGGUUUCUAUCUUUAAAUAAUUUAAAUAUUUUAGUACGAAAGGACCAGAUAUUUUUAAUAUUUAAUUAAUUUUGAAUU